rnacentral:rRNA from 1 species
GACGAACGCUGGCGGCGUGCUUAACACAUGCAAGUCGAGCGGUAAGGCCCUUUCGGGGGUACGACGAGCGGCGAACGGGUGAGUAACACGUGGGUGACCUGCCUUUAGUCUCUGGGAGUAAGCCUGGGAAACGUGGGUCUAAUACCGGAUAUGACUCCGCGGUGCAUGCUGUGGGGUGGAAAGCCUUGUGCGGCUGGAGAUGGGCCCGCGGCUAUCAGCUUGUUGGUGGGGUGAUGGCCUACCAAGGCGACGACGGGUAGCCGGCCUGAGAGGGCGACCGGCCACACUGGGACUGAGACACGGCCCAGACUCCUACGGGAGGCAGCAGUGGGGAAUCUUGCGCAAUGGGCGAAAGCCUGACGCAGCGACGCCGCGUGAGGGAUGACGGCCU